rnacentral:rRNA from 1 species
UUCGCAAUGCCCGAAAGGGUGACGAAGCGACGCCGCGUGUGGGAAGAAGGCCUUCGGGUUGUAAACCACUGUCGGGAGUUAAGAAAUGCAAGGAUAUUAAUAGUGUCUUUGUUUGACUAAGGCUCCGGAGGAAGCCACGGCUAACUCCGUGCCAGCAGCCGCGGUAAUACAGAGGCGGCAAGCGUUGUUCGGAAUUAUUGGGCGUAAAGAGCACGUAGGCGGCUAUGUAAGUCGGUUGUGAAAGCCUUCCGCUCAACGGAAGAACAGCAUCCGAUACUACAUGGCUUGAGUGCGGGAGGGGAGAGUGGAACUUCUGGUGGAGCGGUGAAAUGCGUAGAUAUCAGAAGGAACGCCGGCGGCGAAAGCGGCUCUCUGGCCCAUAACUGACGCUGAGUGUGCGAAAGCUAGGGGAGCAAACGGGAUUAGAUACCCCGGUAGUCCUAGCCGUAAACGAUGGGCACUAAGUAGAGGGGUUUU